rnacentral:lncRNA from 1 species
GGUCCCGGAGCUAAACCCUCUGCGUUAGCACUGAACUCAAGAGGAGCAGGGUCGAGGGCUACACACAAGAAUGGAGACCUGGCCUCUGAACGGGAGUAACGGCCCACAGUCCCCGCCGGUGGGAUCCCGGCAGCGAGUAAGUCGCAGCUCAGUUCCUUGCCAGCCGCUGGCCUAUGCCCUCUUAGCUUUUCUCAUCUCCACGACGAAUUAUGACGAAAUAGAAAAUUGGAAUGUAAGCCCCACUGGAGCAGGAACCUUAACUAAUGCGAACUUUUCUUCCUCCAGCACAGUAUCAUGCCCAGUGUGAAACCCAAGUGUGAAUUAAACGAAAUCCUGUCCUUCGUAGGUUUUUAAAUUGACUAAUGAAAAAAGGUCUUUUAAAUUGACUAAUGAAAAAAAAAGUCAAGUCGGGUGUAGUGGAGCAGGUCUUUAAACCCAGCAUUUGGAAGGCAGAGGCAGGCAGAUCUUUGAGUUUGAGGCCAGUCUUGGCUCUAUAGAAAUUUCUAGAACAGCCAGAGCUAUGUAGAGACCCUUCCUCCAAAAAAAAUAAAAU